UAACAAGUCCUGCUAUGAAUCAUGGGUAUCAGUGCGUCUUGGGAUGUUUCAAUCUUUGGCUCAGGGCCUGUGAGUAGGUCAGGAUGUCUUUAAUAGCUUCUUUAAAAAAGAAAGAAGGGAAAGGUAAAAAAUAGCAAACAUCUAGCUGGGCUUUCUGUGCUGAAGGAGGAAUUGUCAAGUGACACUAGUGUGUGCUGCGAGGUCAAGGAUGGGUUGACCCUUUGCCACAGUCUGGCAGAGGCAGUGACAUCCGGCAAGGUGCAUCACCUGUGUGCGGCUCCCUCUAUUCACGACAGCUCUCCUGGAUGUUAAGGGAACACAGAGACACACAGGUGGCCUGAAUGCUUCAACAUCUGAGAGAGGAACUGAACGGCACACAAUGCCCCAGGCUCUGUGGACUCUAACCUGAAAAACCUAUGACAUAUGCCUCUCAAGGCAGUUUGACCAUGCGAACUCCAUGAUUCCCUGCAGUAUAUUUUGUCUUAAAAAGCUGAAAGUGUCAGGAUUUUUUAAAAAGUAAUAGUUAUAAACUUUUUGUUGAAU